rnacentral:rRNA from 1 species
UACAGAGGGUGCGAGCGUUAAUCGGAAUUACUGGGCGUAAAGCGUGCGUAGACGGUAGCGUAAGUCAGAUGUGAAAGCCCCGGGCUCAACCUGGGAACUGCAUUUGAGACUGCUCUGCUCGGGUGCGGAAGAGGGAAGCGGAAUUUCCGGUGUAGCGGUGAAAUGCGUAGAUAUCGGAAGGAACAUCAGUGGCGAAAGCGGCUUCCUGGUCCAGCACAGACGUUCAGGCACGAAAGCGUGGGGAGCAAACAGG